GGACGAACGCUGGCGGCGUGCUUAACCCAUGCAAGUCGAACGGAAAGACCCUGCUUUUGUGGGGUGCUCGAGUGGCGAACGGGUGAGUAACACGUGAGUAACCUGCCCUUGACUUUGGGAUAACUUCAGGAAACUGGGGCUAAUACCGGAUAGGAGCUCCUGCUGCAUGGUGGGGGUUGGAAAGUUUCGGCGGUUGGGGAUGGACUCGCGGCUUAUCAGCUUGUUGGUGGGGUAGUGGCUUACCAAGGCUUUGACGGGUAGCCGGCCUGAGAGGGUGACCGGCCACAUUGGGACUGAGAUACGGCCCAGACUCCUACGGGAGGCAGCAGUGGGGAAUAUUGCACAAUGGGCGGAAGCCUGAUGCAGCAACGCCGCGUGCGGGAUGACGGCCUUCGGGUUGUAAACCGCUUUCGCCUGUGACGAAGCGUGAGUGACGGUAAUGGGUAAAGAAGCACCGGCUAACUACGUG
rnacentral:rRNA from 1 species